GCACAUUAUUACUGAAUGGCACUCGGAUCACAUACAGUUCAAUUGCCAUGGAGCCAAAGUCUUUCCCAUAGUCUUUCAUUAUACGAAUGGGCUCCAUGGCACAGCUAUCUGGGGUAUCACUGCUCAAACAGGGCAAGCACCAAAUGACCUGGCUUUCAUGUCUUUGCAGGGGAAAAUCAAGCGUUUCAACAUGGGGCCAUAAUCCAAAGGCAACAGGCGAGCAACCAGGCUCCUCCAAUGCACAGUGGCAAGAUGGGUCUCAUCACAAUCCGAU
rnacentral:lncRNA from 1 species